CCAAACUUGGUCAUUUAGAGGAAGUAAAAGUCGUAACAAGGUUUCCGUAGGUAAGUUGAAAAAAAAGCCUUCCAAUUCCCCCCAUAAGUACAUAAUAUGCUGACCUUUUAAUCUUAGGUGAACCUGCGGAAGGAUCAUUAUCGAGUGUGAACUCCCCCUAAAAAAGGGGGGGUUACCUCCCGUCCUUUGUUGGGCAUACCCUAUUUCAUUAGAAGGGGGUUUGCUUUUGAGACCCUUUCUGCUUCGGCGGGGUUACCUGCCGAAACAACCUCAAAAAUUCUAAGUUAAAACGGUUCAGUCCGAGAAACUUUGAAAAAAGCGAAAAACUUUCAACAACGGAUCUCUUGGUUCUGGCAUCGAUGAAGAACGCAGC
rnacentral:misc_RNA from 1 species